ensembl:lncRNA
AUCUGUUUCAUGUGCCUUCAAGUCAAAGCAAAGCCUUACCAGUUCUUUUGUUUUUUUUUUUCCCUCUAUCUCUUUGGAUACAAAACAGAGUUUUAUGAAAAGGUAACAAGGAGAAGAAUUUCCUGUGAAUUUAGCAGCUCAACAUUUCUACAUGCAGAACUUCCCACAUCUGAACCAGAAACAAGAGCAUACGUCAGCCAGUGGAAAAGAGGAAAGAACUAGAUGAAAGAAAGGAAUGAGUGGUAAUUAUGUGAAAAUAAACUCUCCAUGGCUUUUUCUGGCUCUUAUGAGUACUCUUCUACUGUGCUAAAAAGCCAAAAAAAAUAAGAAGCUCUCUACAUCUAAUUAAUUUUGCAGCCCUCUUCCCAUUUCUAGGAAAGAAGAGUCAUCAUGGAAAUGCAGACAGACAGUAAAUGAUUACAGGAUUCUCUUCAACAAUUUCACUGAAGCAGAUAAGUUUUGCAAGAAAACAGGAUGUGGAAAUAGAUUAGAAACUGGUUAAAGUGUAAAAAAAACGUUUUUAGAAGCUAUACAAAACUUGUUGCAGCAAGAUCUGGUGAAUGAUUAGCUAUUAUUUCAAAUAAUAGAACUAUAAUAAAGUUCAAGCAGUUUCAAGCUGAGAGCACCAGUUAAUCAACCCACCCACAAAUAAAUAAAUAAAUGAAAUCAAAGCUUUUCUUGUGGCUCCUACAGAAACUUUUGGGCUUUGACUCAAAUAGAGAAAAUACUACUCUCCUUCUCUGUCUUCAAAGGCUGGCUGCUGACAGCAAGGCUAUUCCACUCCAAAUACCUCAUGGCUAAAGGGAUACAUGAAGUUUUUAUAGGACCAAGACUUUAUGUUUGGCAGUCAAACCCUAAAAAAAGAAUGAGCCGCAGUUAUUCAGAAAAUAAUUUAGCUUAUCAGAACUCUGUCUCUGACUGAAGUCUAUACAGUGCUGUGAAAUAUAUCCUCACCUUGUACUACAAAAAAACCAAAGAUUUACUCCAUCUGCCUUCAAAUAAGAGGACCCUCAGGGAACAGAGGAGAAUUGGAAAAUAUUCCUGAGAUAUUAAGUAUUAAGGAAUUAAAACACAGAGGUGCAGAACGAGUGUGAGUGCAAGUACUGCAAAAUCACAGCCUAAUCAUGACAGAAAGCAGUUCACAUACAUCUGGUAUAGUAUGGGUCUCCUUUGGGUGGAGAGAGGAAAGGAGGGGCACAGAAUGACACUUCUCAGUCAUUCUAGUGAGUUUACUAGGAAUAUUAGAAAUGUCAGGCAGUUUUCAGUAAUAGUCUCAAAGUCCUAACAAAAAGCUGAAAUUUUAGUAAUUUUCUCUAAACACCAUUAGAGUGAUUUUCAAAUUUCUGGCAAAACAAAUUCAGAGUUCCUAAAUCCUGCAUAGGACCACAGCAGUCCGUUGGGUACACCAAAGCUUUCUGGUGCACACUCCAGCACAGCUACAGAGGUGAGGCUCCCAAGUUCACCGUCACAAAGCUCGCAGGCAUGUGGGCUGAGCCUCCUAACCAUCUAGAGAAGUCUAAGACUUGCACUCUCCCUGCUCUUCAGUACAACCUUGAAGUUCAUAGCACAGAUUCUUUAACACCGUUUAAGUAGACUACACAGACUUACAGAGGUCACAGUUUCCAAAAGUUUCCAAAAUUCAAAAGACAAAUCUGUCUCCCAAACACAAAAUUAUGAGAACAAUACCAGCUACUGGCUAAUCGUAUUCAUGAAGUCUUCCAAAAUAUUUCUGGUAUAUUUUAUUUUCAGAACAUCACGUUUUGACUUGUUAAAACUACGAGGUAUGUAUGAUCUGUAGGGAAAAGCUGAAAGGAACCAUAUAAAGUCUGAUAGGGAAUAGACAUAAAUAAAUAAGUGCUUAUCUUCUAUUUGCCUCUUCACAUACUCAUCCAGAAGGCAUGAAUGCUAGACAAACCAGAUCCCUUUUCCUUUCUCAACCCCAACCCAUGCAUGAUACCUUACUCCUUGUGACAUAUUAAAUGAAACCAUGAGUCAGUAAUUAUUUGAAGAAAGUCUUCUAAAUAAAAAAAACAACUAUUUUCCUGUUCCAAUAGCUGCUGCCUGGGUUAUUCUCUAUGCUGUAGAAGCUUUUUAAAAUUGAUAUAUUUACACUGAUGUAUAAAGCAAGCAGAAUGUGUAUCCAUGUAACACAUUAAAAAAAACUGCUUGAAAGUGUUAAUUAGCUUCUUUAAUAUCCCUUACAAUUAAUAAACUCUAGAGUGCAAGUAAGCAAGAAUAAGUUUUAGAAUACAUCCAGGAGGACGGAUGCUGGUCUUUUUCUUUACUGAGAGCCAAGCACAGAAAACGAAGUUGUUACUGCAACAGGGUUGUCACUGUGAUUCAGCUCAAGAGCCAUCUGUGUUCUUAUAGGUUAGGUAGUUAUAUCUACAAGACCAGAGUUAUGAAAAUGAGAGACAUUGUUUUUUGUAUGUUUUCCUGCAGGGAUAACUUACCUGUCACUAUGGAUCCAGAAAACUAGAAAUAGAAAAGCAUUUCUAGCUUUACCUGUUCAACAUUUCUUUUUGCCGAAAAGGCUACUGUGAUGGUAACAUCUUUUUGCAAGCAGUAGGCAACGGAGAAUAUCAUCAUCAGGGAAAUACUCAGUUUCUCAUGCAUAACCUACUGUGUAGUCCCCUUGCCUAACCAAUUUGUUUUGAAGAUAUCUACAUAGUACCUUAAUUGUGACAGAAUUCACUGCAUAUGUUGCAUUCCCUUAAUCUUCUAUGGCAUCACUUGAUACCUGGUGCACAAACGUACAAUUUUUCUCUUAUUACAAUGAGCAAAUAACAAAACCAUUGAAGUGUGCUUGGUCCUCACGGUUCUCAUGGCAUUAAAUUCAAGAUCAGCCCCCAUCACAGUUUUAGAAGAAAACUACAGUAUAUGGCUUAAAAGAAAAGAUUACCGUGCCUUUAAAUUGAAACAUUAUCCUCAUAUUUACUUGAAAUAAUGUUAGUUAGGAAUUUGAAAUGUAACAGUGUUCUUGUAAAUCCUGUCUCUUAUGAAAAACUUAAAAUACUACAGCAGUACAAGAGAUGUUGGGCAACUGCAUGUCUUACAGUUUCAAAUGACUACAAUUUAUAUUCCUUGCAUUUCCUUCACCUUGGGUAAGUAAAUGGCCAAUUUUUUAAAUUGUCAGGCUUCCCACAUGGUAAGCAUUAAAAUCCAACAAAAAUGUAGUCUGUCCAGAGUGCUCGUUUAUGCUUCAAAUACCUUUCUGGACAGUCAUCUCCUGAUUCAACCCUACACUUUGUUUGACUAUUUCCUGGGGAGAGGGCGGAAAAAAGAAGGGAAUAUGAGCACCCAGAAAUGUGGAAUAACAGGUCCCAGGGAACAUUACUCGGGCCAUCUCUCUUCCCUGAGCACAUGUUGGUAAAAGUUCAAAUAUCAAAUAAUCACCUUGAUGACUCUAUGAAUCUGUGAUCAGUUUAGCACAAUGUCUUCCAUGGAAUAUGCAACAGUUCUAAAUUGUCAGCAAAUAGCACUCAGACAUGUCUAUUUUCUGGCUUCUUCUAAUGCAAUCUUACCUUCUAAGAGGAGAGGAUCAAACUGAUGCAGCGGUAUACUUCAGAAACAUCAAAAGGAGACAGAAACAGUUACCUAGCCACAAAGGCAGGCAGGAAGGAUGGCAUUAUAUACUAGACCAGCCACAGGAGAUGCCUUUGAGCCCUUCAAAGAGAAGAACACCAAGAAAGCACAUAUCCACAGAAGGCCAGAUGAGUGCCCCAUCUGACUUCAUGAGGAUCCCAGACCUGAAUUCUCUUUUAACACAUACUGCAAUUGUUCCCUGUUGUUCACUGAACUAUGUGAUAAAGUCCUAAUCUGGCACUUCAGACUCCAAUUAAAAUGGAAGAAAACUUCAAUAAAAUUAGAAGACAAAGUGCUAAGAAAAUAUGGCCAAAGGCAGAGACUGUAUUUUGACAGCAAAAACACAGUGCUACAUCUUCAAGCUAGCUAAAUAGGAACCAUCUGGUUAUUCCUGAAGUGCAGUUUCACCAGCAUCAAUACAUCUGCAAACUGGACCUUCAUUUAGGAUUAAACGAUAUAGUCUCCAAAUCAUACACAUUUACUUGCAUCUGUGCAAUUAAUCCUACUUAUAUCUUUAGAAGCAUUUAUAUUUAGUGAGCAAAAAAAUGUGAUUGAAGUAUUUAAAGAGAAUAAAAACACAGUACUAAUAAUGAAUUGUGCUAAAAACAUACUCUUUGGUGUUAUCACUUGAGUAUUUCUAUCAGCUAAUAUAUGAAUAUCAAAGACAAAGGCAAAUCCCCAAGUUAUCCACUGAGUCCUGUCCAAAUGAGAAAAGACUAGACCCACUGUGCCAUGAAUUUUCCAUUGUUUCCAUUUUUAUUCGCUACUCUCUUUUCAUCUCUAACUACAUGAUAAACUGUGUUCAUUCAAUUACUGAAAUCCAGCUGGUUGAAAUGAAUCCAGUUGGGCUUUAUCAUCUUUUGAACUUCUUUUUAGAGAGGUUUUUAAUGACUGUAAGAACUGUUGUUCUUACAUGUCUCUUUCACUUACAUGAGAUAAUGCAAGGUUAUCUUUGUGAAAUCAAUACAAGCCUGACCCAAGUUCAAUGGCACGCAAACUCCCAGGAGGGAAAAACACAUUGCUUACGUAGUGAGAACACUCAGUGUUCAUUUUGCUACUUUCUAAUAGCCUUUUACUUAAAGGCUGUAAAAACCGUCUUGAACAGAACCAGAUGUUUACAGAAAUUCUCUCUGAUUACUGUCCAAGUGAAACCAUCUUCUUCUCUUUCACCAGACUCCCUUUAUCAUUAAAUAAUGCAUUGAAAUGGAAGUAUAGAGCAUGUGAUGAUUGCCAGAAUUAAACAAGGGGCAGAUGGUAAGAAAACCAAAUCAGUAUUUUAUAGCUAUUUUGUUAUCCAGUCUCUCUUUACAAAUUCUACAAUUCAUAUUUUGAUCCUGAAAGUGCAUGUUGAUUCAUUAUAGAUCCUUUACAGGUCAUUUAAGCACAGGUUUCUUUACUUUUUUUUUUUUAACACUUUGCUAUGACCAGAUUUCCUUUUUUGUUUCUGGGGUUGAUAUGGGCAGGCCAGGAAGAGGAGGAAAAAUCCCCCUUGCUUAUUCCCACAAUGCGUACUUCUGUGGAAGACAAACAUUCCAUUACAACAAAUCUCCCAGUUCCAGAGAACUUGGACUGUUGAGAUGUGGCAGAUUAUCCCUUGGAAAGAUGAUUCCAAGUGUCUACGUAAUAUAAAAUGCAUACGGCACUGGAGUAUACAGUAGUUUUACUUGCCAAAUAAAAGAACACAUUGUUUUGAUCUUCAAAGAAAUUCCUAAAGCCAUGGUAAACUGCAAUGAUCCAGCUCAGAAUUCACAAACGCAUGUAUUACUACAGCAAGCAAUUAGCAGGGGAUUGGAAAUAGGUGAUCUUUGAGGUCCCUUCCAACCCAAACCAUUCCAUGAUUCUGAAUCAAAGUGAAAGUAGCAUUGACUCUUUAGCCAUGUAAUCAAACAAGGCUUCUCAUGCCGUAAGAAGUCAUUGGAGAUGACUUAAAGCAUCAGCAAAGCUCUCCAAAAAUGCACCAACUCAAAUUAAAAGAGAAAAAGAAUUGAGUUAAUUUUCUUGAAAUGUACUUCAAGCUUCUCUAUUUUUCUUCUGAGACUAAUCUCAACAGGAUUCAAUCUAAACUCCAUAAAGAGAUUGACCCCUGACCUGCAGUCAAAGGAAUGUGAUUUGCUUAUGUAAACGUCAAUGAGUCCUCAUUUUCUAACAUUCAAUUUGAAAUAUUCUGUAGAAAAAGCCUUAAUUGUGGACACAAUUCAGCUCAAUAAAUACUUCCUAUGUUUGUUUUAAGCGUUCAGUUACUGUGGUUGCCUAGAAAGUACUGAGAAAGAGCAGGAAGACAAAUGAGUAUGCCAUCUCAUCCAUAGCUAAAUAUGAAUUCAAAGUCUAACA